rnacentral:rRNA from 1 species
CAGCAGCCACGGGAAUACGAAGGGGGCUAGCGUUGUUCGGAAUUACUGGGCGUAAAGGGAGCGUAGGCGGAUGUUUAAGUCAGAGGUGAAAGCCCAGGGCUCAACCUUGGAACUGCCUUUGAUACUGGACAUCUUGAGUGUGGGAGAGGUAAGCGGAACUCCGAGUGUAGAGGUGAAAUUCGUAGAUAUUCGGAAGAACACCAGUGGCGAAGGCGGCUUACUGGCCCAUUACUGACGCUGAGGCUCGAAAGCGUGGGGAGCAAACAGGAUUAGAUACCCCAGUAGUCCCUGUCUCUUAUAC